UACGUAGGGGGCAAGCGUUGUCCGGAUUUACUGGGCGUAAAGAGCGUGUAGGCGGCCACGCAGGUCCGUUGUGAAAACUGGAGGCUCAACCUCCAGCUGUCGACGGAAACCGUGUGGCUAGAGUCCGGAAGAGGAGAGUGGAAUUCCUGGUGUAGCGGUGAAAUGCGUAGAUAUCUGCAGGAACACCCGUGGCGAAAGCGGCGAGCUGGAUCACUACUGACGCUGAAGAACGAAAGCUAGGGGAGCAAACAGG
rnacentral:rRNA from 1 species